rfam:Nomascus leucogenys chromosome 16, whole genome shotgun sequence.
GUGCUCACUUCGGCAGCACAUAUACUAAAAUUGGAACCAUACAGAGAAGAUUAGCAUGGCCCCUGCUCAUGAAUGACACCUUAUUUUUUAACAACAGCAAAAAAAAAGACCUUU